GUAACUUCUUAGACCAAGUCUAGAAACAGUUUGAGGACAAUAACAAUUCCAUUCUAAGAAGAAUCUCCCAACAUUUCUUCUAUCUCAACCUCAACUGCAUCUGCCUGUGAACUUCCAGCUUACCAAGGCUCUAUAUCUUCUGGCAGUGACAAAGGCUCUUUCCGCAUCAUACUUGGGGAAACAGGGAUUCACAAGACCCAGGCUGUUCCCUACAUAUGUUUCCUCCUCCGACAUCAGUUCAUCAGUCAAUCAAGUCAUGUGAGAGUGGAGGCCUUGUAUUCCCUAUUAUUCUUGGGCACUCUCCUCCAAGGAGGGAAAGGCCAGGAGGUCCUUUUAGAGGAUGCACUCUGAGAGCCCGGGCUCCCUAAGGUAUGAGAGUUCUAACCAGCAGGUGUAGACUUUUCAGGAGUGAGGAAUGAGGCAG
rnacentral:lncRNA from 1 species